UACAGAGGGGGCGAGCGUUGUUCGGAAUUACUGGGCGUAAAGGGCGCGUAGGCGGCCCGCUAAGUCGAACGUGAAAUCCCCAGGCUUAACCUGGGAACUGCGUCCGAUACUGGCAGGCUUGAAUCCGGGAGAGGGAUGUGGAAUUCCAGGUGUAGCGGUGAAAUGCGUAGAUAUCUGGAGGAAUACCGGUGGCGAAGGCGGCAUCCUGGACCGACAUUGACGCUGAGGAGCGAAAGCCAGGGGAGCAAACGGG
rnacentral:rRNA from 1 species